GCAAAUACUUAUAAUUUAUUUGUAAUUAUUCCUCCCUCCCAUUUCAAAUACUUUUUACGAUUUUUGUACAAAAAUUAAAUAAAUAACGGGAUAGUCUUAUUUGUGUAUAAAAAAAAUAUUAACAAUUAACUAAAGUACACUUAAAAUGUAGAAAAAUAAUAAGAAAAAGAUAACUGCAUUGGGAAAGCAUUCAAGUUCAAGUUGGCCCCUCCAUCAUCUCAAGGGAUCUCUUCUCUCCUGUCGAGAGGUUGCAUUAAGCUCAACUUUGAUACCGCUGUUAAUGUCAAAGAGGCGGAAGGUAAUAUAGCUGCCAUCGCUAGAAAUUGUAAUGACAAUUUUUGUAGAUGGACUUUCAGGAAGGUUGAAGACAUAGUGAACCCACUGGUUUUGGAAUCUUUGGCCUACUAAGAAGCAGCUUUUUGGGCCAGAGCAAAAGGAAUUGUUGAAGGAGAUUAUCAUAUUGUUGUUAACACACUUGUGAUGGAUUGAGUCUUUAAUCUAGGCGGACAAAAAUUGAAAUCUUUAAUUUAUUGAGUCUUGUUGCUAUUAACUUGACAAAGUGAGUUUAAACUUGGAAUAUCCCUAACACACUUGUGAUGGAUUCUGCAGAUUUUAUAUAAUUAGCAAGAAUAUCAUAAAAUUAAUCAACUCUGCAUUGUCCUCUUACAUAUGCCAACAGCACACAGACAACUAAUUAAUUAACCAUAUAUAUGAUCUAACAUAGGUAAUACGUACAAAAUUAACUUGAAAUCUCACAAUUUUUAAAAAUAAUUUUAAUUAUUGAGUCAAUAGAGAGCUAAUUAUUUAGAGCUGCAUGGCUAAGCUAGCUACUUGACGUAAGCCUUAUUAUUAUUAUUAUUAAAGUCUAAAUCAAGGAAAUUAGAGCUGCUAUAUGCAUUGUAAAUCCAGUUAAAAAUCACAGGAAUGAUCAUGUUCCAACCUACCAAGAAAUCAUACAGUAAUGAGAAUCAAAGACCAGAGUUAUUAACUAAUAUUGUUAUAUUGUGAACAUAUAUAUCAAGAUAGACUAAAUGGUUAAUAUUACGUAUGUAAUGAAGGAUAGAUCAUCAUACUCUUAUGCCAUAUUUAACAAAUGGAAAUUCAAAUAGCCUUCGUUAUCUAAGAAAAUGAGAGAACAAUUAGACUACUCUAUUGUAAAUCAAUAAUCAGUUGAAUUAAUGUAGUAAAACUAACUCUUUAAUAAACUUUACCUAUAAAAUUAGGAGUUUGAACUUUAUAAUGGCGAGGAUUUUACUUCAAUAAAUGUGAACACAACUCUGAUUAAUUAGUGAUAGAUUUAGAUUAUAAAUGAUUAAUCAUACAACAUACAAUUAAAAAAAAAAAAACCCAUAAAACAUGCAUGUGAUGAGCUAGAUUCUCAUCAAAAAUUUCCAAAUCUUAAUAAUUCUCUUGAAUGGUUUAUGUCUUUUCACAAAAAUUAAAGCAUAUGGACAACACCUCAAUUAUUAGUUUUUCAAUUAUUUUAGAGAUCUUGCCAUAGGAAGGCAAUAAAUUAUUCCUCCUAAAUUUGAUGUCCCUUCCAACUAUAAUCAGAAAUGCAUCAUUAAUGUGAACCUAAAUUCAAUUCGAUACUUUAAAGGCAUUGUCCUACGAAGAGAAAAAAUAAUAAAUAAUUAUUAUAUAUAAUUAUUACUAUCUCUGCCUGCUUUUAUUUAUUAAUUUUUAAAAAUUAU
rnacentral:misc_RNA from 1 species